GAUGAACGCUGGCGGCGUGCCUAAUACAUGCAAGUCGAGCGAACAGACGAGGAGCUUGCUCCUCUGACGUUAGCGGCGGACGGGUGAGUAACACGUGGAUAACCUACCUAUAAGACUGGGAUAACUUCGGGAAACCGGAGCUAAUACCGGAUAAUAUAUUGAACCGCAUGGUUCAAUAGUGAAAGACGGUUUUGCUGUCACUUCUAGAUGGAUCCGCGCCGCAUUAGCUAGUUGGGAAGGUAACGGCUUACCAAGGCAACGAUGCGUAGCCGACCUGAUAGGGUGAUCGGCCACACUGGAACUGAGACAGGGUCCAGACUCCUACGGGAGGGAGCAGUAGGGAAUCGGCCGCAAUGGGCGAAAGCCUUACGGAGCAACGCCGCGUGAGUGAUGAAGGUCUUCGGAUCGUAAAACUCUGUUAUUAGGGAAGAACAAAUGUGUAAGUAACUAUGCACGUCUUGACGGUACCGAAUCAGAAAGCCACGGCUAACUACGUG
rnacentral:rRNA from 1 species